rnacentral:lncRNA from 10 species
ACUUCGAAAGCGGCUUCGGCUGCCUCGGCCGCUUUCGAAGCCACUCCACAAAACACGCCUUCGGUCGGUUUAACCCUACCUCCCCCCCCGCCCGCUUUAGCCAGCUCGAGACAAAAAUGUUUCCCUCUUCCCCGUGGUUCUCCUUGGCCACGCGGUGGCUCUCAUUAUGUACACAAAGGCACACAUAGUUCCUUUUGGCGUCUUAUCUUCUGAAGCUGCCUCAAGGCCAAGCAAAGAAAGUUGUUAAAAAGUUAAGUUACUUUUCACAGCCUGCAAACCCUUCAAAGGUCCACCAAGUGAAGAUUGGAGGAUGUAUUUGUUUCUUCUACUCAACAACAAUUGAUAAAGCAUGAGUUCCAUCAAGGACUGUGUUCUAGGUGGAGAAAGGGUGACUCACCCAGUCAUUGGAUCUCUUUCACUUCCAGUCUCUGGAAGGCAGAUAUCUUUAUAAAAUAUGCAGACAGCUAGGCUCUAAACACUGGACAAGAGGUCUGUAAUCAUCCAGUCACAUCUCAGGUCAGAGGGUCUUGGACUGCUUAAGAAAGAGCUGACCAUUGUCUUAAGAACCUGGGGUGGCCUAGAGCCAUCUUGAGGUGAUUUUAUCAGCCCCAUCAGGAUAAUUCUCCUCAGCUUCCUUGCAUGAAUAGUGUAACUGGUGCUACUACUUUUGUUUUUAGUCACUUUUCCUAGCCUGCACUUCCCUUCCCGGCCCUCCUUUUUCCUCUGUAGCCAAGUCAUCACUUCUCUUUACCUAAAUGAGUUUUGGAAUCCAGGGGAUAAAACGAAAAGAUAGGCAGGGCGCUGUGGCUCACACCUGUAAUCCCACCACUUUGGGAGGCCGAGGUGGGUGGAUCACCUGAGGUCAGGAGUUUGAGACCAGCCUGACCAAUAUGGUGAAACCCCAUCUCUACUAAAAAUACAAAAAUUAGCCGGGCGUGGUGGCGUGUGACUGUAGUCCCAGCUACUUGGGAGGCUGAGACAGGAGGGUUGCUUGAACCUGGGAGACAGAGGUUGCAGAAAGCUGAGAUCGUGCCAUUGCACUCCAGCCUGGGUGACAGAGCAAGACUCUGUCUCAAAAACAAAAACAAAAAAACGGAAAGAUAAUUCCUUGAGCACAAGCUUCACUCUCCUUAUUCUCAACAUCUGUGUCUGUAUUAUUCUUUACAGUUUAUGAAACACUUAUUUAAUCUCACUUAAUGCCCAAACUAGUGAUGUUAGUUAUUUUUUUUAAAAAGUCAAGAUCACUUAACACAUCCAAAUAUAACAAAGUUAAAAGGCAUAAAACUGGGUACCCAACAUAAAUUAUCUGAUUAUAAAUCAAGUGGUCUCUGGGAAAUCUUGUCAUUUCAGAAGGUCAGAUGGAUGUGGAGGGCAGAAACUAACCUCAGAUUAUGCCAGGGACGCCAGGGCCUCCUGAACACUGUGGGGGGUUGUGCUCUGAAAUCUACCUCCAGUUUUACAAGAAGCUCUCUUCCAAUCUGUCUGCGCUUUUUUUUUUUUUUUUUUUUUUGCU